GACGUAGGGGACGAGCGUUGUCCGGAUUCAUUGGGCGUAAAGCGCGCGCAGGCGGCCGCGUAAGUCGGGUGUGAAACCCCGGGGCUCAACCCCGGGCCUGCAUCCGAUACUGCACGGCUAGAGGUAGGUAGGGGAGAUCGGAAUUCCUGGUGUAGCGGUGAAAUGCGCAGAUAUCAGGAGGAACACCGGUGGCGAAGGCGGAUCUCUGGGCCUUACCUGACGCUCAGGCGCGAAAGCUAGGGGAGCGAAC
rnacentral:rRNA from 1 species